UACGUAGGGUGCGAGCGUUGUCCGGAAUUAUUGGGCGUAAAGAGCUCGUAGGCGGUUUGUCGCGUCGACUGUGAAAACCUACAGCUUAACUGUGGGCUUGCAGUCGAUACGGGCAGACUUGAGUUCGGUAGGGGAGACUGGAAUUCCUGGUGUAGCGGUGAAAUGCGCAGAUAUCAGGAGGACCACCGGUGGCGAAGGCGGGUCUCUGGGCCGAUACUGACGCUGAGGAGCGAAAGCGUGGGGAGCGAACAGG
rnacentral:rRNA from 1 species